CCUACGGGUGGCAGCAGUGGGGAAUAUUGCACAAUGGGGGAAACCCUGAUGCAGCGACGCCGCGUGAGUGAAGAAGUAUUUCGGUACGUAAAGCUCUAUCAGCAGGGAAGAAAAUGACGGUACCUGACUAAGAAGCCCCGGCUAACUACGUGCCAGCAGCCGCGGUAAUACGUAGGGGGCAGGCGUUAUCCGGAUUUACUGGGUGUAAAGGGAGCGUAGACGGCAGUGCAAGUCUGGAGUGAAAUCCCAUGGCUUAACCAUGGAACUGCUUUGGAAACUGUGCAGCUAGAGUGCAGGAGAGGUAAGCGGAAUUCCUAGUGUAGCGGUGAAAUGCGUAGAUAUUAGGAGGAACACCAGUGGCGAAGGCGGCUUACUGGACUGUAACUGACGUUGAGGCUCGAAAGCGUGGGGAGCAAACAGGAUUAGAUACCCCAGUAGUC
rnacentral:rRNA from 1 species